CCAGUGUGUAGGGGUGUCUGUUGACUGAAAUAGAGCCGUCCAGUCAACUGCAGUUACACGUGUACCAUGUAAAAAACAUUUUCAGUGUCAAGAAGCCAAGACUAUGUCUACCUGAACAAGCUAUUGAAGAGCCAAGUCACAGGUAGACUGAAAAGUUAAUGCCUAAAAGCUAGAUGACUGCGGUUGAUUUGGGAAUUCAGAAGCCGGAGACAAGAUUCUGUAUGAUGAUUUCAGAAGGCUUCAUGGAAGAGAUCUUCUGAGGUGGGAAAGUCCACCUUUAAUCUGGGCCACACCAUCUGCUGGCAGCCUAUACAAAGGAUGUGGAAGAAGGAAGCUUGCUCUCUCUUUGCCGGCUUGUUCUCCUUCUCACUAGCAAGUCCAUUCCUUCACUAGCAUUUGAGCCACUUCUUCAGGAUUCUGGUGUAUACCAAAGAGCAGCCUCGUGGAAAGAACAACUACUGGAUUCUUGGACCUUCUGUUGGUAGACAACCAUUGUUGGACCAGCUGGACCACAGCCUGUAAGCCAUUCUAAUAAACCUCCCCUUAUAUCUA